rnacentral:rRNA from 1 species
UAGGGGGCAAGCGUUGUCCGGAAUCAUUGGGCGUAAAGAGCGUGUAGGCGGCCCGGUAAGUCCGCUGUGAAAGUCCAGGGCUCAACCCUGGAAUGCCGGUGGAUACUGUCGGGCUCGAAUCCGGAAGAGGUGAGUGGAAUUCCUGGUGUAGCGGUGAAAUGCGCAGAUAUCAGGAGGAACACCAAUGGCGAAGGCAGCUCACUGGGACGGUAUUGACGCUGAGACGCGAAAGCGUGGGGAGCAAACAGG